GCCGGCAUUUACCGUGACUGAGGCCCGUUUGUAAGCGCGGCCUCCUCGCCGGAGGUGAACUAUCGUUUAGUCAGCCGGCAGUGACAGGCCUGUAAUUAUCAGCUCCGUCUCUCCAGAUGGUCCCUGAGGAAUAAACAAGACCCUGCUGCCCCCCAACAUGAGAGCUGAAGACUACAAUGACUUUGAAUCCAGGGACAUUUCUACCCGGCUGAUUCUGGGAAACCUUCCCGGGAGAGUGCAUCAGCCACUUUGAUGGAGGCUCCUGAAAUGUGCUGUAUUUCAAAAUCAAACUCUUCAAGAGUUAAACUCCACCGAGGACGGUUUUUGUUAGUCUCUUUGACUGCGUGAAGCCACUUCAGUGCAGCAUGGCCAGUCUGCAGGUGGAACCGCCGUCCCCAAAGGUACGGCCGUCGCUUCCCCAGAGCGUACACGACGGCAUAACGUUCUCUCUCUGAGACUGACCUGUGGCUUCCCGCUCUGAGAGUAUUUUGCUGAGGAACACGAGAGGAUGGAAUUGGUGAUCUGCUCCUUCCUGCAUUAAAACUGCUCCUACGCCGCGCUCGGACGCAUCUGGUUAUGACGAACGGUUGGUCGAAGUUCGGGGCCCUCGGUACAGGGUCAGACGUAAGGGCCGCCCCAAGCUGGCUAAAGCUCUCUGACACUUUUCA